UGUAUUCACUACUGUAAGUUGCUCUGGAUAAGAGUGUCUGCUAAAUUACUUAAA
rfam:Salmo salar isolate Sally breed double haploid chromosome ssa20, whole genome shotgun sequence.